CGAUGCAACGACGAAAACCUUAACCUCGGCCUUGACAUGUAGCGAACUUUCCAGAGAUGGAUUGGUGCUCGAAAGAGAACGCUAACACAGGUGCUGCAUGGCUGUCGUCAGCUCGUGUCGUGAGAUGUUGGGUUAAGUCCCGCAACGAGCGCAACCCUUGCCAUUAAUUGCCAUCAUUUAGUUGGGGCACUUUAAUGGGACUGCCGGUGACAAACCGGAGGAAGGUGGGGAUGACGUCAAGUCCUCAUGGCCCUUAUGGCCAGGGCUUCACACGUAAUACAAUGGUCGGUACAGAGGGUUGCCAAGCCGCGAGGUGGAGCCAAUCCCAGAAAGCCGAUCGUAGUCCGGAUUGUAGUCUGCAACUCGACUACAUGAAGUCGGAAUCGCUAGUAAUCGCGGAUCAGCAUGUCGCGGUGAAUACGUUCCCGGGUCUU
rnacentral:rRNA from 1 species